GGCAGUUGGAGGCAGUUGGAGGCCAUCUGCCACACUUUCCAAUUUGCCACCUGAACCACGUGGCUCAUCGUGGCUCGUGAUAGGGCUGGCCCUGGUUUGGAGCCAAAAGAGACUUGAGUAGCAGAAGCUUUGGAGGCAACAGUGACGAAAGGAGGCAUGCCAGAGCUAUUUUGUAUUCAACUGGUAGGACCUGAUGAGAAUGCUCUGUGUUCUCUUGAGCCUCUGCCCAUGAGGCUUAGGGAGAAUUUAGAGGCUCAGUAAAGGAACAUUAUCAUCUUCUUUUAUGAAAUAUGAGAUUUCACACACAGCUCCAAGGUAGGUUUCCUCUGUGUGCAGCUUGGGCUCUGCCCGUAUGUGUCUCAUGCCCUGACAGCCACAAGGCUGGAUUUAUUGCGUUCAAUGUCCUGCUUCCCAUUUGCCUGUAGCUUCUUCAGACUGGAGCAGAACCACUGCCUGCUGAUCCAGGCAACGGUGGUUGUAUUACAUUCACUCUGUAUCCUUUACACAGGUUGCUUCCAGAGUGGCAUCCUGAACACAACAUAGUACUCACUGGGUUCUAAACUCCUGAACAAUAUCAGUGCUUGCUGUAAUCAUGACUCACCCUUGAAAUAUUGGCCUAGUGCAUCACCGCUGUCUGUAAUUGGAAUGCCCUGCCAUCACACCUGCAGCUGCAGGCACCCAGGUUCUGCUGUUGCAUGCGUCAGUGCAGAGCUUGCUAGUUAUAUGUCUCUGGGCUGAUUGAAACGGCAAUUUGAAAUGUCAUCACUUGGGCUCCUAGUCUCCAACGUAGGAUUAAGGUCCAUUGAACUCAGGGACAGGGCCUUUUCAGUGAUGGCUCCGACCUGGUGGAAUGCUCUGUCCCAUGAGACUAGGGCCCUUCAGGAUUUAACCUCCUUCUGUCGGGCCUGUAAGACAGAGCUAUUCCACCUGGCCUUUAAUUUGAAUUCAGCCUGAUCUUUUAUUUCUCUUCCCUCUCCCUCCCCUUUUAUGAAGAUUACCCGCCCUGAGACCCCAUAGCUAAUUCUCCCCUGGCCUCCUCGCUCGCCCAGGUAGGACUAAUUCAGCCAGCUAGCCCUGGUGACUAUCUAAUGCUUAUUGGAUGGAUUUCCCCUAAAUUGAUUUUUGAACUUUGAAUUUUAUUGUUAUUCAUGUUUUCAUACUGUAUUUUAUGCUGCUUUUACAAUUAAGUGCUUUAAAUUUGUUGUUAGCCACCCUGAGCCCGAUUUUUGAACCAGGAAGGGCGGGCUAUAAACAAAUUAUUAUUAUUAUUAUUAUUAUUAUUAUUAUUAUUAUUAUUAUUGAACUUGCAUCUGAGCAGAAACUCAUAGGAUCGUGCUGUUAAUGCCUUGGGGUUUGCAUGGCUGGCAUGCUUCCACUGAAGUGCAUCGCAUCUGAGGUGACAUACAAUUAUGCAAAAGUUCUAUUCAUAGCAUUUUGAUCUGUGUUGCCGCACAAAUGCGUUUCAUGCACGCAGGUCAUCAAUUUGAUGUUGCAACUGUCAAAUAAUUAACUUGCACAAGUGAAAAGUUCCCUCCUGCCUCUCUUCGGCUGUCAAUAUUUCUUUUGCAAUGUUAUAGGAAAAACAGAAAGAAGCACAGAGCUCCUUCCUGAUUUUGGGUUUUCUGAUGCUGUUCAUACAAGAAACAAUGGUUAUUGCCUGUUUUGCUUUGGAAAACAAAACCCCCUUCAC